rnacentral:lncRNA from 1 species
UGGGGAACUACUGCUCUAGGAGAUAUGACCAUUCUAGUCCAGUCAUCCUUAGCUUUCCAUGUGAUAAUCUUCACUAAAAAUAUGAUUACUGUAUUUGGAAGCACUCGAGGCAAUAGAUAUUUCACUAACAAAGCAUUUGCAGCUUGUACUUCAUGUGCCUCCUCAGGCCCUCCCUGGGCAAGGGGAUGUCAAAGAGGCCCAUGGGGUGGGUCGUCAAAACACAAGAGAAUAACUGGUCAAUUAACCAGAACUUUGUUCUGAAACAAAGGUCUCCCUUCCACCCCUAGUCCUUAAUUUCCCCUUGUGCUUUCUGUUGGGGUGCAGGCAUGUGGGUGUACCUUCACCCCCUGCUGUGACUGUCCAAAGUCCUGUGGGUGGUUUUUGUUGCUCCCCACCAUGUUCCUUAGUGCUCCUGCCCAUUCAAGUUCCUUUUUGGUACUCUUUGAGUUCUCACAGCCUCUUGAACUGCCAUUUGCACCACCCAUGCCAGAGUUGCAUUAGACUUGGAAGCUUCUGGCAAGUAUCACACUCCCGAAAUUGCAAUGGGUCCUUUGGGUGCUGGGUCCUAGGGAGCAACACUCUGGAUCAAUGCCAGCAUAGCAGUAAUAUGAGAGGACCACCAGGCACCAUGGUCCCUCAAGCCAUUCCAAAGCAUCACUCCAUAUGCCUUCCACCUUAUUUUUCUCAUGGUACUCCUCCCCCUCGGCUACGGACUCAUCUCCCUUUAUACCACCCUUUCCCCCCAUUUCCAAAGGUUCUCUUGCUUUCCUGCCUCCAGGUGCUUCUGGGUCCUGAAUGGCCACUGAUGGGGCACCGAAUGAGGGCUCAUCCCAACCUGGCUAGUGACCUGCUGAAGGAUGCCACACAUGCCCUUCCUUCCGAAGAGCACUCAAUAGUCCUGUGGAAGGCACCAAGGUCAACCCUUUCUCUGGGCUGAUGUCCAACCGCUUACUUACAUCCUGAAGGAAACUUAAGAACCCAAGUCCCGUUGUGUUCAUCGGAAUGGCUUUGGAGGAU